GAGUUUGAUCCUGGCUCAGAGUGAACGCUGGCGGUAGGCCUAACACAUGCAAGUCGAACGGCAGCACAGAGGAGCUUGCUCCUUGGGUGGCGAGUGGCGGACGGGUGAGGAAUACAUCGGAAUCUACUCUGUCGUGGGGGAUAACGUAGGGAAACUUACGCUAAUACCGCAUACGACCUACGGGUGAAAGCAGGGGAUCUUCGGACCUUGCGCGAUUGAAUGAGCCGAUGUCGGAUUAGCUAGUUGGCGGGGUAAAGGCCCACCAAGGCGACGAUCCGUAGCUGGUCUGAGAGGAUGAUCAGCCACACUGGAACUGAGACACGGUCCAGACUCCUACGGGAGGCAGCAGUGGGGAAUAUUGGACAAUGGGCGCAAGCCUGAUCCAGCCAUACCGCGUGGGUGAAGAAGGCCUCGGUUGUAAG
rnacentral:rRNA from 1 species